CAAAAAAAAAAAAAAAGAAGAAGAAGAAGGGAGGACCAGACUGGUAUCUUACAUGAGAUUGUUAUCUGAAUCCAAGAAGUUAGCAAAACCGCCUUUUGAAGAAAGUGGGAGUCCUUUGGUAGCAACAGCCCUGUUCAUAAAAUUGGGGUUUGGAAAAGGCUUCGGUAGUUGAUCGAGCGCAUUCAUCACGUUGAGGUUUUCCUUCUUCAGUAGGGCUUCCUCCCCAUCCCCCACUUUAAAAAGUGUCUGAUGCCAUCUGGUUUGGGGGAACCACAGCCAUCAGUAUGCAGGAUAGCCCAGCUAAUAGGAAGUAGAGAGAAACUGGAGGACAGUAGGCCCACCCUUAGUUUGAGUGGGAUGGGGCUGCAGUGAGCUGACUUCACAAUCAUCACGGAGUGUAACAAUUAGGGGCCAGCCUUGCCCUUGAUCUGAGGCUCUCACUACAGCUGGCCAGACCUAGAGCCUGCGUCAGGAGUGGGGUAGUUAGGAACAGAGCUCUCUAACACACUGUAGUCACAGUAGCCCUGGCCUCUGAGAACCUCAAUGUGUUUAACACCUGUGCCUUUCAGAGCUGCUGUGGAAGGAGAAAAAGGAUGGUGAGAGAAAGGCACCUGGGCACAGGAGGAGGCAGCACCCAGGAGGGCCACCAGGGUGGGAGACUUUGCCUAUAGGUGCUGAGGCCCGAUCUAUAUCCUGACACAUAGGCCAAGCAGGAUGUUGCAUAGGCACAAGGAAAGCCCAGGUGCUUUCUAAGGGCUUAGAACUCACCCAUAACCUGGUUUUACUGCCAGAAGUCCAAAUGUGCUACACCCUCACUUUCAAGUGACUUUGCGUUGAGUGACAAUGGUAGCAGAGGGAUUCCAAAACAAAGCCAGACAUUAGCUCCACUCUCAAGAAAACCACCUCUAUAGUAGGAAAACAUUUCUGUCACUUCUGGGGGCAGGAGGCAGGGCUCUUAAAAACAGCACUGGCUUUGCAUCUAGAUGUACACUUAGUGUGAGUCCAGCCCUGUACCAACUAGCUGUGUGUAACCUUUGCUAAGUGACUUUACUGAGCCUCAGUUUCC
rnacentral:lncRNA from 1 species